GAGGGUAUAGCUCAGUGGUGAAGAGCAUGCUUAUCUUGCACAAGGUCCUGGGUUCAAUCCCCAGUACCUCCA
rfam:Camelus ferus unplaced genomic scaffold scaffold444, whole genome shotgun sequence.